AGCUGCUUCCACGAAAAGUCACCUUGUAAUUAUGAAUCCCGCGUAGAGCAUCGCUCAGACAAGCAUACAGUAAGUGAUCAAUAAGUUUUGCAGAAAAGAAGGGCUGGCUGGUUGAUUUCCUGAAAGGAGGAGCAGAAAGUGAGAAUGAAUGGCGUGACUCUAAUCUGACAGUUUGGGCAUCUCAAGGAGCUACUGCAGAGUUCAUAAAAGUCCAAAUAAUUUGCCCAGAAACCUUUUCUCUGGAAUGAGUCAGCACUCACUAAGGAAAGACGGUAAACUCCAACAUCCAACAAAGGCAUGAAUUUGAAAUAAGAUGCAAAGUUGCUGAACAGUUAACCGGCAAAUGUGACUAACCAGAAGAGCUAACCCUAUAAAAAUGAUAAGCUGUUUUAGAGAAAAACACAUGAAGAGUGUGCUUUUCGGGAGGGUUGACUGAGUGGGUACAGCACAAAGACCUUCAUAAACAUUUUCUAAGCUAAUUCACCAAGAGCCAAUGUGAUAAUUCCUUUCUUACCUCUGUUACACACUUGAUAAAACUAAGGCUCCAAUGGAUCAAGUGACAUUCUCAAGGUCACACAGCCCCAUAAAUGGACCCUGAACC
rnacentral:lncRNA from 1 species